rnacentral:SRP_RNA from 1 species
GCCAGUCAUGGUGGCGCAUGCCUGUAGUCUUAGCUACUUGGGAGGCUGAGGUGGGAGGAUCACUUGAGCCCAGGAGUUCGAGGUUGCAGUGAGCUGUAAUUGUGCCACUGCACUCCAACCUGGGUGACAGAGUGAGAGCCCAUCUCUU